ensembl:lincRNA Gm44053 predicted gene, 44053
GCUGUCUAUUAUUAAGACAGUAUCUCACUGGCCUUGAAAUUACGAUGAAAUGGCUUGGAACCUUGAUCCUUCUACCUCUGUCUCCUGAAUGCUGGGAUUACAGGUAAGUGCCUGUAACCAUACCAAACUAGAACAUUGAUAUCUUGAAUGUUCACUAAAGACUUCUUAUCAGCUUAUAGUCUUAAUGAGGGGAUAUAUAUAUAUAUAUUAUAUAUCCCUUAAGGAAGAUAUUGGGGGCCUGCCUCUUUCUAUUGCUUCUCCCUGCCGUGAGGUGAGCAGGCCUCUUCCUUAGCCACAAGUGCCCACCAUGAUGUAAUAAACCAUAGCCAAAGGAACGGAUGAAACAUGGACUUGGAAAACUGUGAGCUAAAGAAAUUCUCUGGUUAUUUAGGGCAUUUAUUAUAGUAACAGAAAGCUAACAUCUUUAUUUUUAAGAUUUUUUUUAGCAGAUAUGGAAUUUGUUUUCUUUAAUCAGAUAUUCUUUGCUUUGUAUGAUUUCUGAUGAAAAGUCGGCUGUUCUUUUAUGUGUGCUUGUGAAUGUAGAAUGUUUCUAACUGCUGCUGUAACACUCUGAAUGUACCCAAUUGUUGUGGAGCCUUAGGGUUUUAAUUGUAAGUAAGGAAAAAUAUUUGGCUGUCUCUUCAAGUUUCAUCCCUGUACUUUUCCUCUCCAGCUAUGCCCAGGCUAGACCAUGUCGUUAUUUCCCCACAGGCCACAUCAGUGAUUCUCAACCUCCUUUUCUUGUACUUGUUUGGUUCCUUCUGAUAAGUUAAAAUUCAUACAUCUUUCUAACCGUAUUGUCUAAUCUGUGUACUCCCAACCAGGGUAUAUUCUAGAAAUUCCACUUGCUGAGUUUAAGUAUUUUUCUCAGUAUGUUCACUUUCUUUUACAUCCUUGAAAAUAUAAUAGCUAUUUUUAAAGUCCUUA